GGCUCAGGAUGAACGCUGGCGGCGUGUCUUAGGCAUGCAAGUCGAACGGACAGGUGUAGCAAUAUAUCUGUUAGUGGCAAACGGGUGCGUAACACAUUGGUAACCUACCCCGAAGUUCAGAACAACUCCUCGAAAGGGGAGCUAAUACUGGAUGUGGUUGCGGAUCGCAAGAUCUGCAAAGAACGGCGUAAGCCGCUUUGGGAGGGACCUAUGGUCCAUCAGCUAGUUGGUAGGGUAACGGCCUACCAAGGCUUCGACGGAUAGCGGGUGUGAGAGCACGACCCGCCUCACUGGGACUGAGACACUGCCCAGACUUCUACGGAAGGCUGCAGUCGAGAAUCUUCCCCAAUGGCCGAAAGGCUGAGGGAGCGACGCCGCGUGCAGGAAGAAGCCCUUCGGGGUGUAAACUGCUUUUCUUCGAGAACAACUCUGAGUGUACCGAAGGAAUAAGGGGCUGCUAACUUCGUGCCAGCAGCAGCGGUAAUACGAAGGCCCCGAGCGUUAUCCGGAUUUAUUGGGCGUAAAGCGUUAAAAGGCGGUCUGGAAAGUACCUGGUCAAAUUCUGCGGCUUAACCGUAGAGCUGCCGGGUAAACUCCCAGACUUGAGGUCGGAAGAGGCAAACGGAACUACCGGUGUAGUGGUAAAAUGCGUUCAUAUCGGUAGGAACACCAAAGGCGAAGGCAGUUUGCUGGUACGAAUCUGACGCUAAAUAACGAAAGCGUGGGGAGCGAAUGGGAUUAGAUACCCCAGUAGUCCACGCCCUAAACGAUGAAUACUAGGGAUUGGGAGUUUCGACCCCCUCAGUCUCGUUCAAGCUAACGCGUUAAGUAUUCCGCCUGGGAA
rnacentral:rRNA from 1 species